GCAUAUACCCACACUCACCAGGCACCAGAUGCCAUCUUAUCAUGGAAGCUAAGCAGGUACAGCCUUGGUUUGCAGUUGGAUGGGACACCACUCAUGAAUCCAGGGUGCUGUCUUUC
rnacentral:rRNA from 1 species